rnacentral:sRNA from 1 species
AAAUACAAUAUCCGUAAAUUCUGAAAAUAACAGAAAUGAAAUUCCAUUAAGUUAAUUAUUUUAGGAUUAUGCUCAAUUAGGGAGUGAAGCAAAAGCGUAGAUAUCCUGGAGCAAUCCUAUAAAAAAGCCGAUAUUAAUAUCGGCUUUUUUAUUUC